UGGCUCAGGAUGAACGCUAGCGACAGGCUAACACAUGCAAGUCGAGGGGCAGCAAUAAAAGUAGCAAUACUUGGUGGCGACCGGCGCACGGGUGAGUAACGCGUAUGCAACCUACCUAUCAGAGGGGAAUAACCCGGCGAAAGUCGGACUAAUACCGCAUAAAACAGGGGCACCGCAUGGUGAUAUUUGUUAAAGAAAUUCGCUGAUAGAUGGGCAUGCGUUCCAUUAGGUAGUUGGUGAGGUAACGGCUCACCAAGCCGACGAUGGAUAGGGGAACUGAGAGGUUGGUCCCCCACACUGGUACUGAGACACGGACCAGACUCCUACGGGAGGCAGCAGUGAGGAAUAUUGGUCAAUGGGCGGGAGCCUGAACCAGCCAAGUCGCGUGAAGGAAAGAAGGAUCUAUGGUUCGUAAACUUCUUUUGCAGGGGAAUAAAGUGCAGGACGUGUCCUGUUUUGUAUGUACCCUGAGAAUAAGGAUCGGCUAACUCCGUGCCAGCAGCUGC
rnacentral:rRNA from 1 species